UACGAAGGGGGCUAGCGUUGCUCGGAAUUACUGGGCGUAAAGCGCACGUAGGCGGCUCUUUAAGUCGGGGGUGAAAUCCUGGAGCUCAACUCCAGAACUGCCUUCGAUACUGAAGAGCUCGAGUCCGGGAGAGGUGAGUGGAACUGCGAGUGUAGAGGUGAAAUUCGUAGAUAUUCGCAAGAACACCAGUGGCGAUGGCGGCUCACUGGCCCGGUACUGACGCUGAGGUGCGAAAGCGUGGGGAGCAAACAGG
rnacentral:rRNA from 1 species